rnacentral:rRNA from 1 species
AGCGAACGCUGGCGGCAGGCUUAACACAUGCAAGUCGAACGCCCCGCAAGGGGAGUGGCAGACGGGUGAGUAACACGUGGGAACGUGCCCUUUGGUUCGGAAUAACUUGGGGAAACUCAAGCUACUACCGGAUAAGCCCUUAUGGGGAAAGGUUUACUGCCGAAGGAUCGGCCCGCGUCUGAUUAGCUAGUUGGUGAGGUAAUGGCUCACCACGGCGACGAUCAGUAGCUGGUCUGAGAGGAUGAUCAGCCACACUGGGACUGAGACACGGCCCAGACUCCUACGGGAGGCAGCAGUGGGGAAUAUUGGACAAUGGGGGCAACCCUGAUCCAGCCAUGCCGCGUGAGUGACGAAGGCCUUAGGGUUGUAAAGCUCUUUUACCCGGGACGAUAAUGACUGUACCGGGAGAAUAAGCCCCGGCUAACUUCGUGCCAGCAGCCGCCGUAA